AUUAGAUAAAAAACCAAUGCCUUCGGGCUCCUUGGUGAUUCAUGAUAACUUGUCGAAUCGCAUGGCCUUGCGCCGGCGAUGAUUCAUUCAAAUUUCUGCCCUAUCAACCUUCGAUGGUAGGAUAGUGGCCUACCAUGGUUUCAACGGGUAACGGGGAAUUAGGGUUCUAUUCCGGAGAGGGAGCCUGAGAAACGGCUACCACAUCCAAGGAAGGCAGCAGGCGCGCAAAUUACCCAAUCCCGAUACGGGGAGGUAGUGACAAUAAAUACUGAUACAGGGCUCUUUUGGGUCUUGUAAUUGGAAUGUGUACAAUUUAAAUCCCUUAACGAGGAACAAUUGGAGGGCAAGUCUGGUGCCAGCAGCCGCGGUAAUUCCAGCUCCAAUAGCGUAUAUUAAAGUUGUUGCAGUUAAAAAGCUCGUAGUUGAACCUUGGAUUUGGCUGCUCGGUCCGCCUAACCGCGUGCACUGAUGCGGCCGAAUCUUUCCUUCUGGUGAACUUCAUGCUCUUAAUUGGG
rnacentral:rRNA from 1 species